rnacentral:rRNA from 1 species
GAUGAACGUUGGCGGUGUGCCUAAUACAUGCAAGUCGAACGGAGACUGUAGCAAUACUGUCUUAGUGGCGAACGGGUGAGUAACGCGUUGGUGAUCUGCCUCGAAGUGUGGAAUAACCUCCCGAAAGGGAAGCUAAUACCGCAUAGUCUCUCAAGGUUUAGAAAAUUGAGAGUAAAGGAUUUAUUCGCUUCGAGAGGAGCCUGCGUCCCAUCAGCUAGUUGGUAGGGUAACGGCCUACCAAGGCAAUGACGGGUAGGGGACCUUGAGAGGGUGGCCCCCCACAAUGGAACUGAAACACGGUCCAUACACCUACGGGUGGCAGCAGUAGGGAAUAUUAGAAAUGGGCGGAAGCCUGAUCUAGCAACACCGCGUGUGCGAUGAAGGCCUUCGGGUCGUAAAGCACUUUUGGAGGGAAUAGGAAGGAAGGUACCUCCAGAAUAAGUCUCGGCUAACUACGUAGCACGCAGCCGGCGGUAACGGUAAGGUAGUGGUUGUACGUAGUAGACGUGCCAACGGACGACAAC